GACGAACGCUGGCGGCGUGCUUAACACAUGCAAGUCGAACGGAAAGGCCCUGCUUUUGUGGGGUGCUCGAGUGGCGAACGGGUGAGUAACACGUGAGUAACCUGCCCUUGACUUUGGGAUAACUUCAGGAAACUGGGGCUAAUACCGGAUAGGAGCUCCUGCUGCAUGGGGGGGGUUGGAAAGUUUCGGCGGUUGGGGAUGGACUCGCGGCUUAUCAGCUUGUUGGUGGGGUAGUGGCUUACCAAGGCUUUGACGGGUAGCCGGCCUGAGAGGGUGACCGGCCACAUUGGGACUGAGAUACGGCCCAGACUCCUACGGGAGGAAGCAGUGGGGAAUAUUGCACAAUGGGCGGAAGCCUGAUGCAGCAACGCCGCGUGCGGGAUGACGGCCUUCGGGUUGUAAACCGCUUUCGCCUGUGACGAAGCGUGAGUGACGGUAAUGGGUAAAGAAGCACCGGCUAACUACGUG
rnacentral:rRNA from 1 species